rnacentral:rRNA from 1 species
AUUGAACGCUGGCGGCAUGCCUUACACAUGCAAGUCGAACGGUAACGCGGGGCAACCUGGCGACGAGUGGCGAACGGGUGAGUAAUGCAUCGGAACGUGCCCAGUAGUGGGGGAUAGCCCGGCGAAAGCCGGAUUAAUACCGAAUACGACCUACGGGUGAAAGCGGGGGACCGUAAGGCCUCGCGCUAUUGGAGCGGCCGAUGUCAGAUUAGGUUGUUGGUGAGGUAAAAGCCUACCAAGCCGACGAUCUGUAGCUGGUCUGAGAGGACGACCAGCCACACUGGGACUGAGACACGGCCCAGACUCCGACGGGAGGCAGCAGUGGGGAAUUUUGGACAAUGGGGGCAACCCUGAUCCAGCCAUGCCGCGUGCGGGAAGAAGGCCUUCGGGUUGUAAACCGCUUUUGUCAGGGAAGAAACGCUCUGGGCUAAUACCCCGGGGUAAUGACGGUACCUGAAGAAUAAGCACCGGCUAACUACGUGCCAGCCGCCGCGGUAAAAC